UACACAUGCAAGUCGAACGGUGAAGAGAGCUUGCUCUCUGGAUCAGUGGCGAACGGGUGAGUAACACGUGAGCAAUCUGCCCCUGACUCUGGGAUAAGCGCUGGAAACGGCGUCUAAUACCGGAUACGAGCUGCGAAGGCAUCUUCAGCAGCUGGAAAGAAUUUCGGUCAGGGAUGAGCUCGCGGCCUAUCAGCUAGUUGGUGAGGUAAUGGCUCACCAAGGCGUCGACGGGUAGCCGGCCUGAGAGGGUGACCGGCCACACUGGGACUGAGACACGGCCCAGACUCCUACGGGAGGCAGCAGUGGGGAAUAUUGCACAAUGGGCGCAAGCCUGAUGCAGCAACGCCGCGUGAGGGACGACGGCCUUCGGGUUGUAAACCUCUUUUAGCAGGGAAGAAGCGAAAGUGACGGUACCUGCAGAAAAAGCGCCGGCUAACUACGUGCCAGCAGCCGCGGUAAUACGUAGGGCGCAAGCGUUAUCCGGAAUUAUUGGGCGUAAAGAGCUCGUAGGCGGUUUGUCGCGUCUGCUGUGAAAACCCGAGGCUCAACCUCGGGCCUGCAGUGGGUACGGGCAGACUAGAGUGCGGUAGGGGAGAUUGGAAUUCCUGGUGUAGCGGUGGAAUGCGCAGAUAUCAGGAGGAACACCGAUGGCGAAGGCAGAUCUCUGGGCCGUAACUGACGCUGA
rnacentral:rRNA from 1 species